rnacentral:rRNA from 1 species
UACGGAGGGUGCGAGCGUUGUCCGGAAUCACUGGGCGUAAAGGGCGCGUAGGCGGCCUGGUAAGUAGGGGGUGAAAUCCUGCGGCCUAACCGCAGGGCUGCCUUCUAAACUGUCAGGCUAGAGCACGGUAGAGGCAGAUGGAAUUCCCGGUGUAGCGGUGGAAUGCGUAGAGAUCGGGAAGAACAUCAGUGGCGAAGGCGGUCUGCUGGGCCGUUGCUGACGCUGAGGCGCGACAGCGUGGGGAGCAAACAGG